UCCGGCUUGUCGCCGGCGGUCCCUUUAGAGUGCCCAACUGAAUGAUGGCAACUAAAGGAGAGGGUUGCGCUCGUUGCGGGACUUAACCCAACAUCUCACGACACGAGCUGACGACAGCCAUGCAGCACCUCCGCAGCAGUUCCUGCGAAAAGGGAUAUUUCUACCCCGGUCCACUGCGCUUCGAGCCCAGGUAAGGUUCUUCGCGUUGCGUCGAAUUGAACCACAUACUCCACCGCUUGUGCGGGCCCCCGUCAAUUCCUUUGAGUUUCAGGCUUGCGCCCGUACUCCCCAGGUGGGAUACUUAUCACUUUCGCUUAGCCACUCAGGUUGCCCCGAACAGCUAGUAUCCAUCGUUUACGGCGUGGACUAC
rnacentral:misc_RNA from 1 species